GAUGAACGCUAGCGGCGUGCCUAACACAUGCAAGUCGAACGUGAGAGGGUACUUGUAUCCUUGAAAGUGGCGGACGGGUGAGUAAGACGUAGGUGACCUGCCUUGAAGUGGGGGAUAACCACUGGAAACGAUGGCUAAUACCGCAUAAGCUGGUGAUGAUGGGAAUCGUUAUCAGGAAAGCUUUAGUGCUUUGAGAGGGGCCUACGGCCGAUUAGCUAGUUGGUGAGGUAAAGGCUCACCAAGGCGAUGAUCGGUAGCUGGUCUGAGAGGACGAUCAGCCACACGGGAACUGAGACACGGUCCCGACUCCUACGGGGGGCAGCAGUGAGGAAUAUUCGGCAAUGGGGGCAACCCUGACCGAGCAACGCCGCGUGGAGGAUGACGGUUUUCGGAUUGUAAACUCCUUUUCUCAGGGAAGAGCGAGGACGGUGCCUGGGGAAUAAGUCACGGCUAACUACGUG
rnacentral:rRNA from 1 species